rnacentral:tRNA from 1 species
AUCUCAGUUGCAUAGUGGCUGUUGCGCAGCCCCGCAUGGAUUGAGACGCGGGUUCGAAUCCCGCCUGAGAUG